rnacentral:rRNA from 1 species
UACGUAGGGGGGCAAGCGUUGUCCGGAUUUAUUGGGCGUAAAGAGCGUGUAGGCGGCUUGGAAGGUCAGCUGUGAAAACUCGAGGCUCAACCUCGAGACGUCGGUUGAAACCACCUGGCUAGAGUCCGGAAGAGGAGAGUGGAAUUCCCGGUGUAGCGGUGAAAUGCGCAGAUAUCGGGAAGAACACCCGUGGCGAAGGCGGCUCUCUGGGACGGUACUGACGCUGAGACGCGAAAGCGUGGGGAGCGAACAGG